CGCGUGGCCUGUGCCGUGGGAGCCGGCGGGAGCUAGGGAGGGGGAUGGCCGUCUCUGGUUCUUCUCGCCAUCCCCAACCUCAGCUCUGUGUUGCGCCUUUUUUCUCCUGCGCCUCCCCUUGAUCUUCUGCACUUUUAGGGAGAAAGGAACUAUAUCAUCCUGAGAUACACAGAAGUCAUUUGGAUGAAUGUUCAUAGGCUGCAGAGUGGUGAGGUUCUGAAGUGUUCCAGGCAUGUGGCAUCAAACCCCUCUAAAAAGGUCUGCUCCUGGGCUUGCGGUGGAGUACUUUCUCAGUGUGCAUGAGGAUCUGGGUUCUAUCUCUACUGUAUAUACACAGAGCAGAAUAUCACCGGCCAUCUUGUUCUGCCAUGGCUUCUCCGUAUCUUUGCUUUAAGGUUGAGGGCGUUAGAAGAAAGCAUUUGAUCCCCUGGACCUGGAGUCAUGGAUGACUAAAUCACCAUGUGGAUGCUGGGAAUUGAACCUGGGUCCUCCUCAAGAGCAGCAGGUACUCUUCACCACUGAGCCAUUUCUCAAGCCCUGAGACAAGGUUUUAUCAUAUAUGCAACCCAAGUUGACCUGAACUAACUUCAUUCCUCAGCCUUCCUGGUUCUUGCAUUACAAUACUGAGGGGGCCCUGCAGGUGGUCAAGGCAGACAGUAAGUCAACCAACCGGAAAGCAGUGAGAAUGAAGACUUGGUUCAGAUUGAUUUUUGCUAACCUAGACUUCAAGGACUCUGAUGCCUGGCGGUUCAUUCUGAAUAGACUGAAACACAGUGUAACUUGGAAAUAAGAUUCCGGUGUAAUACAAACCCAUUGCACAAGUGUCUUAGAGUUUCCGUUGGUGUGAAGAGACAUCGUGACCAUGAUGACUCUUAUAAAACACUUAA